UCACAUACAAGUCGCAUAUAUUUGUUAAUGUGAACGACCUCACAAAAAAAUCGGAUUUCACAAAAAAAUCGGAAUUGAGCAUUAAGCCUUGCAGUGUGAACGUAGCGUUAGAUCCAGGUCAGCACUGCCUAUGUCCAGCUCAGGUCCCGUCCUUCCUGCCCUGUGCAUUAUAUGUAAAAAAAAAAAAAAAUCUCAAAUUCGUCUUAAAGGGAGGCAAACGACAAAGGGAAGCUCUUUCAAAAGCUGAGACCUUAACAGCAGGCAAGUUGCAGACUGCUGCUGAGACUAAAGAUGACCACGGUAUUCUGGUACACAUUAAGGACAAAGACUGUGUGGCUCUGGAGGUGCAGUACCACAAGAGCUGCUACCAGCAGUACACCAGAUUUCUGAAUGAGCCUGCUAGACAAGAGAAGGACAAGUCAUUGCCUGGAUGCUGACCCCUGCCUUUUUGCACCGUGCCACAGGACUUUUAUAUAUUUUUAUAUUUUUUUUUUUGUGUGUAUAUAUAAAUUUGCAUUUGUAAUGUGUAUAUAUCACUGUUUUGUUGUUUACAUUUUCUAUUAAAGUUUGCAAUU